rnacentral:rRNA from 1 species
UACGUAGGGCGCAAGCGUUUGUCCGGAAUUAUUGGGCGUAAAGAGCUCGUAGGCGGCUUGUUGCGUCGGAUGUGAAAGCCCGGGGCUUAACCCCGGGUCUGCAUUCGAUACGGGCAGGCUAGAGUUCGGUAGGGGAGAUCGGAAUUCCUGGUGUAGCGGUGAAAUGCGCAGAUAUCAGGAGGAACACCGGUGGCGAAGGCGGGUCUCUGGGCCGAAAUUGACGCUGAGGAGCGAAAGCGUGGGGAGCAAACAGG